rnacentral:sRNA from 1 species
AUUGAAUUAGCCAUCUUGUCUCCUAGGCCCUGGAACGUCUUUGAAACUCCCUGGAACUAAUCAGACAGGAGGGCCUAGUCAGGCUGUUAGGCCAAUCACACAAGCUGGAAGACCCAUUACAGGUUUCCUCAGGCCCAGCACACAGAGUGGAAGGCCAGGCACUAUGGAACAGGCUAUCAGAACACCCAGAACCGCCUACACAGCCCGCCCUAUCACCAGCUCCUCCGGAAGAUUUGUCAGGCUGGGAACGGCUUCCAUGCUUACAAGUCCUGAUGGACCAUUUAUAAAUUUAUCUAGACUGAAUUUAACAAAAUAUUCCCAGAAACCUAAGUUGGCAAAGGCUUUGUUUGAGUAUAUCUUUCAUCAUGAAAAUGAUGUUAAGACUCAAAAUCCUUUCCUUCAAGUGAAAUCUUAUCUAGACCCUAAUAUGUAAAACAGACAAAAGGCUUUGGAUCUGGCUGCCCUCUCCACAGAGCAUUCUCAGUACAAGGACUGGUGGUGGAAAGUACAGAUUGGAAAAUGUUACUACAGGUUGGGAAUGUAUCGUGAAGCAGAAAAACAGUUUAAAUCAGCCCUGAAGCAGCAGGAAAUGGUAGAUACAUUUCUG